GAUGAACGCUAGCUACAGGCUUAACACAUGCAAGUCGAGGGGAAACGACAUCGAAAGCUUGCUUUUGAUGGGCGUCGACCGGCGCACGGGUGAGUAACGCGUAUCCAACCUGCCCAUCACUUGGGGAUAACCUUGCGAAAGUAAGACUAAUACCCAAUGAUAUCUCUAGAAGACAUCUGGAAGAGAUUAAAGAUUUAUCGGUGAUGGAUGGGGAUGCGUCUGAUUAGCUUGUUGGCGGGGUAACGGCCCACCAAGGCAACGAUCAGUAGGGGUUCUGAGAGGAAGGUCCCCCACAUUGGAACUGAGACACGGUCCAAACUCCUACGGGAGGCAGCAGUGAGGAAUAUUGGUCAAUGGGCGAGAGCCUGAACCAGCCAAGUAGCGUGCAGGAAGACGGCCCUAUGGGUUGUAAACUGCUUUUAUAAGGGAAUAAAGUGAGAGUCGUGACUCUUUUUGUAUGUACCUUAUGAAUAAGGACCGGCUAAUUCCGUG
rnacentral:rRNA from 1 species